rnacentral:rRNA from 1 species
UGGAAUAAGUUUUAGUUCUUUUUAUUUAUUUUUAUAGGGAAUUAUCUUUUUUUUUAGUAAAGUUUGUGAAUAAAAUUUUUAUUUUAUAGUUUAUUGUACUGUCAGGGGUUAUAUUUGUUUAGAUUAUAAGUAUAAUUAGUUUUUAUUACCUUUUGUAUCAGGGUUCAUUAAUUUAAUAUGGUUUAUUCUUUUUUCUCGAAAGCUUAAGAUUUAUCUAACAAUUUAAUUUUGUGUUUUAUAAUAAUUUAAAAUUGUUAGAUAGUGGUGAUAUACUUUUCAAUUAAGUUAUAUCUAGUUUUUUAUGAAAUAAUUUAAAUUUAUAACAGAAAGGAUUAUUCUGGUUGAAUUAGAUUUAUUUUUUUCUGUUAAAUAUUUUGGGGGAUAAUCUCUAAAUUAUUUCUAUAAUUUUUGGUUUAUUUGAAUUGUCUUUAUAAAUUAAAUUGUUAAUUUAUAUUUUUUAGUAGAAAUUGUUCAUUUAUUUUUAAUUUAUUUUGAUUUAGAAUUGUAAUAGAAAUAUUUUCUUUAAUAUAUUUUGUUAAGAUAUAAUGAUGAGAUUAGUAUGAUUUUUAAAAUAUAAUAGGAACUCGGCAAUGUUUAUGUUCACAUGUUUAAUAAAAACAUCUUUUUUAGAUUUGGAUAAGAUUUAUUUAAAGUAUGACCUGCUCAAUGAUUUUUAAAUAGCCGCGAUAUUUUAAUCGUGCAAAGGUAGCAUAAUAAUUUGUCUUUUUAAUGAGGACUGGGAUGAAUGGUCGGAUGAAAUAUAUACUUUCUUUUAUAUAAAUUUUUAAUUUAAAUAUUUAGUUAAAAUGCUAAAAUUAUUUAAUGGGACGAUAAGACCCUAUAGAAUUUUACUAUUUAAUAAAUGUAUAAUUUUAGUUUUAAUAUUUAUACAUUUAUUAAAUAGUUAGGUUGGGGUGACUUCUAAAUAUAAUAAACUUUAGUAAUAAAUUAUCAUUAUUUAAUGAUUUUAUGAUCCUAAAUUUUGGAUUUUUAGAAUAAAUUACCUUAGGGAUAACAGCGUAAUUUAAUUGGAAAGUUCAUAUUGAUAAUUAAGUUUGCGACCUCGAUGUUGGAUUAGAAUUCUUUGUAAUGAAGCUGUUACAGUAAGUGAGUCUGUUCGACUCUGAAAUUUUACAUGAUCUGAGUUGAGACCGGCGUGAGCCAGGUUGGUUUCUAUCUUUUAAUUUUAUUUAUAUUUUAGUACGAAAGGACCAAGUAUAAGAAAUAUAUUUUUAUAUAGUUGAUUUUU